UACAGAGGGUGCAAGCGUUGUUCGGAAUUAUUGGGUUUAAAGGGUGCGUAGGCGGCCUUGUAAGUCAGGGGUGAAAGACGGUAGCUUAACUAUCGCAGUGCCUUUGAUACUGCAGGGCUUGAAUGUACUUGAGGUAGGCGGAAUGUGACAAGUAGCGGUGAAAUGCAUAGAUAUGUCACAGAACACCAAUUGCGAAGGCAGCUUACUAUGGUUUGAUUGACACUGAGGCACGAAAGCGUGGGGAUCAAACAGG
rnacentral:rRNA from 1 species